rnacentral:tRNA from 1 species
GAUGGUAUAGCUCAGUGGUAGAGCACAUGCAUUAGGUCCUGGGUUCAAUCCCCAAUACCUCUA